GAUGGCAAAUAGAAAGGUGCCAUCCGCAAGGAUGAUAAAUAGUUAAAUAUCCCAACGGGUAGGUCCGGUAGAGAUGUAUCGGAUAGGACCGUAGGUCCUCGUUGGGAGCAGUGGUGGUGCGGGCGCCAUUGCCACCGGGAGAACAUCGAUGGCUGUUCAGUUCGACUCGAUUGGCGAGGCUUCGAAGGUAAAAGGAUUUGCAUCCUCUGGCAGUGAAGAUGCUGUGGCGAGGAACGGUGCGAUGGAGGAGAGGAACAUCAGAAUGAUGGCUUGUAGAAGUGAAGGGAAAUGGAAGGAUGCAGGUAUUCCUGGAAGUUCAAGCCUGCAGUCUGGUUCACAAAGCACAAGGAGAAGCGUUGUACUGUUGCACGUCCAGUCCGGUUCCUGAUUUGGACUGUGGGGGAAGGGUGUUUCAAGAAACUGGCACAGUUAGAACUGGUGUUUUUAGGAUGGAUGAAAACUGCAGAGUUUUGGAAGGAAGUGGAGAAUGUGCUGGACCAACGGAUAGUUUGCCUCCUGUGAUGAACAAAUGGUACACCGGCUGCGACUGUGUUCGAUCUAAAUGCUCGUCCAGCGCUAAGCAACAUUGAGAGUACAUCGAUGGGUGACCCUGUCCUGCAGGUCAGCCUGUGGCAGAAGAUGUAUUGGUUGAAGCAGGGAUUGGGGGGUAAGUUUGUUUACAGGCAUCACCUAUUUUGUGAAUGAAUCUACGAGGCAAGCAUGUUGUAUAAAUGUUUUAGUAUUGGACGUAAAAAAUAGGAAGGGGAGUAUUGUAAUGUUAUCCUAUUUUCGGGUGCCUAUGUCUCUCUCUCUAUAUAUAUGAUUUACUGUAUGAUACCCUGAGUACAUAAUAAGCUAUUCCGUACCCGAGGCAAACGGACGCACCCGCGGCGCGGGAACCCGCUCCGGUGUUCGGUCGCUUCAGCUCGGAUCUGCCCCCCCUCCCCCAGCUCGCGGUUAGUUUUUCCCCUAACUUCCCGUUCGUAGCACGACGUCCCACCGAAACUGCCGCCAAUAGCCACAUGGACCGAGAGGCCUUUUUUUUAGCGAGCUUCUGAUUUCGU